AGUGAACGCUGGCGGUAGGCCUAACACAUGCAAGUCGAACGGCAGCACAGGAGAGCUUGCUCUCUGGGUGGCGAGUGGCGGACGGGUGAGGUAUACAUCGGAAUCUACUCUGUCGUGGGGGAUAACGUAGGGAAACUUACGCUAAUACCGCAUACGACCUACGGGUGAAAGCAGGGGAUCUUCGGACCUUGCGCGGUUGAAUGAGCAGAUGUUGGAUUAGCUAGUUGGCGGGGUAAAGGCCCACCAAGGCGACGAUCCGUAGCUAGUCUGAGAGGAUGAUCAGCCACACUGGAACUGAGACGCGGUCCAGACUCCUACGGGAGGCAGCAGUGGGGAAUAUUGGACAAUGGGCGCAAGCCUGAUCCAGCCAUACCGCGUGGGUGAAGAAGGCCUUCGGGUUGUAAAGCCCUUUUGUUGGGGAAGAAAUCCAGCUGGCUAAUACCCGGUUGGGAUGACGGUACCCAAAGAAUAAGCACCGGCUAACUUCGUGCCAGCAGCCGCGGUAA
rnacentral:rRNA from 1 species